rnacentral:lncRNA from 1 species
UGCACGAUUGUUUCGUGACUCUUCCUCCCUGGUCUCUGCAUCCCCUUCCUUCCCGGACUGGUGCAUGUUUGAACCUGCUUUUGGGAACUCAGGGAAGGUCUUGGAGGCUAAAUGAGGCCUAUUUCCUGCAAAUAAGAAACUGGGGACACAAAGGCCCUUGUGCCCAGGAGCCCCACAGACUCCCUCUUGGUGUCACCAGGGAUGGGGGGCUUUCCUAAACUGACUUAGGAUUCUGGUUUACAAUGGAUUCUGCAAGGACAGAGAGGGAAGCCCAAGCUCAGGGCUUACCCAGCAGAGAGCACCAAGGACCAACUAAAAGCUGGUCAAACAGAGGAGUUCCCCUCGUGGCUCAGCAGAAGCAAAUCUGACUGGCCUCCAUGAGGAUGCGGGUUCGGUCCCUGGCCUUGCUCAGUGGGGUUAGGGACCCCGCGUUGCUGUGAGCUGCGGUGUGGGUUGCAGAUGCAACUGGGAUCUGGCGUUGCUGUGUCUGUGGUGUAGGCCAGCGGCUACAGCUCCAAUUCGACUACGAGCCUGGGAACCUCCAUAUGCCGAGGGCGUGGCCCUAAAAAGAAAAAAAAAGUGGUCAAGAAGAAAGUCUUUGGGCGUUCCAAAAUCCAGUUAGUAUCCAUGAAGCUGAGGGUUCGAGCUCUGGCCUCGCUCUGUGGAUUACGUUUCCACAGCGUUGCUGUGGUGUAGGCUGGCAGCUACAGCCCUAAUUUGACCCCUAGCCUGGGAAUCUCCAUAUACCGUGUGUGCAGCCCUAAAAAGACAGAAAGAGGAAGAAGAAGCAAAUGGUCGUCUUUGUCCACUGUGCGCAUUUGCCUCGCCCUGCUCCCUGCGGAGCCGGAGCCUGAUGGAGGAGGCAGGCCCCGUGCCAGAUCAGGAGGGUGGCCUGCGGGUUGUUGGCUGAGUCGGGUCCAGGCAAGAAGGUCCACGUCCCCAGGGUGGGGACCCAGGGCCCAGGGGAAGCGGGAGGACUGGGCGUGGCGCACGGGAGGCCAGCUAGUGGUCAUGGCUGUGGCUGAGAAGCACCUACUGUGUGCCAGGCCCAUCCAGAGCAUAUGACAUCUCUGCAUUGCAUUUAUAGCCCUGGCAUCAGCAGGGAGGGGUUACUCUGUUGCCCAUUCUACAGAUGAGGAAACUGAGGCCCAGUUCAACAAAAGUGAUCAGGCCAAGGGGUCAGCUGCUCGCUGACCACAGUCCAGCCCGGGGCCGUCUGUGGUCAGUUAACAGAGCCCACACUCUGAAUCACGAUGCUCUGCUGCCUUUUGCUGUUCAUAUAAUUCACUGAAAAAGAAACGAGUUGGAGGGAAAGCAGGAAGUGCAUCCAGGAAGAGGGCAGAGGCCGGGUAAAGGCCCGGAGGCGGGGAGCCGGCUGGGGACAGUGGGCCCUUUGUCUCUGGGAGUGGGGGGUGCAGGCCGGGGCCCGGAGGGGCUUAGUGGGGGAUGCAGCAGGGGAAACGGUGGCCGUGCCCAGACUGUGGAGGGCUUGGACACCACACAGGAAAUGCGGAGCUCCUCCUGCAGGCCGCGGGCCUCGGCUGAAGCCUCUGAGCAGACGGGCAGGUCCCGCCUGGGUGGCAGAGUGAGUGCGCCGAGCUCAGGGCGGGUUCCCAGAGGCUGUGAGGCCCGACGCCAGGAGGCCGGGUCUGGGGAGGGGAGGGGUGGGUGGACCAGCUCUGGGGGCAGGGACAGGGCCUGCAUUUGCUGGCCCAGCAGGGAUCAAGGGGACAGCAGGGUGGCACUACCUGCCCACGCUUCAGGCCAGGAGGGUCCCCGCCUCCUCCAGGAGAAGGCCUGGGUUCAGUCCACAGCCUUCCCUGGAGAAAGGCCAGGACUGGAGGGGGGACCACAGUGUCCAUCCUUCCCCUACCCCCUACAUCAGCCCAUGGCCUGGCAGGUGACAUCAGGUUGUGGAACCUCAGUGUCCCCUGUGGUGGGAAAUGAGGACACCCAGCGGGCAGAGCUAUAGUGGAGGCCGUGGGCCAGGCUGGCCAGGGCAGGGAUGGGAUGCCCCCUGCUGCCCCAAACCUUCCAGCAAACCUCAGCAGCAGCUUCUCCUGCAUUCAGUCCAUCCCCUCGUGGACUGCGAGCUGCAUCUUUGCAGAAGCAGGAGGAUGGCGAGUGGGGUGUGUCCUGGAUGGGCACCCCCUCCUCUGGGGGCAGAACUUAGACUUAACAGAGUCCAGCCGACCCAGCAUCACCUCCUCACUGGGCUCUUGGGGCUUUAUUUGCAAAGUCAAGAAGGCAGGUCCCAGAGUUCCCGUUGUGGCUCAGCAGAAACGAAUCUGACUAGCAUCCAUGAGGACGCAGGUUUGAUCCCUGGCCUCGCUCAAUGGGUGAAGGAUCCAGCGUUGCCGGGAGCUGUGGUGUAGGCUGCAAACAUGGCUUAGAUCCCGUGUGAUUGUGGCUGUGGCUGUGGCAUAGGCCAGAAGCUACAGCUCUGAUUCGACCCCUAGCCUGGGAACUUCCAUGUGCCACGAGUGCAGCCCUAAAAUAAAAGAAGUCAAAAAUAAUAAUGAUGAUGAUGCAGUUCCCCCACACUGGAGCUAGUCCUUCCCGCCCUUUGGAAGGAGAGAAACAGCAGCAAAGCCCCCACGUCCGUCAACCUCAGGCCCCUCCUCCUGGGGCUUUUCGUUAUCAGUGCGAGUUCUGGCAUCCCUCGCGGUACUUGCUCUUUCUAAGGAUUCUUCUAAGAAAAGCCUGCUGGCCAAGAAAGUGCCGGAGAGGAUAGAAAGCUGGACGCCAAGCCCAGUCCGUCCAGCCCUGCCCUGUGUGGCCUCUGCCUGCACAGUGGGGUGCUCAGGGGGCCAGCUGGAAGGGCAGCUGCAGACGUGCGGGUCAGGAAGCGCAGGCGGGUGGCCCGCCCCAUUCGCGGGCAGGGCCCAGGGCCACGAGCCUUCUGCACAAGCCACCUCUCCCCUGCCAUCUCCCGGAGCCCGGGGGUCCCUGUUAGAGAAAUCAGAGGAGGGGUGAAGGUGUCUCACCUGCUGAGAGUUGGGACUCGAUCUUUCCACGUUUGGAUAUAGGUUUCCUGGAUGUGAAGGUCACAGCCAGAGUCCGGAGGGUGCAGCCCCAUUUGGGGAAAGUCCGUGUGCUGGCAUCUUAGGGCUGCCUUAACCCAUUGCCACCAACUGGGUGGCUUAAAACCAACACUGAUUUUCUCCUGGUUCUAUUUGUUUGUUUUCUUUCUUUCUUUCUUCUUCAUUUUUUUUUUUUCUUUUUAUGGCUACACCCAUGGCAUAUGGAAGUUCCCAGGCAAAGCACUGAAUCCAAGCCACAGCUGUGGCAACACCCAAUCCUUUAACCCACUGUGCCCAGCCGGGGAUCCAGCCCGAGCCUCCGCAGUGACCUGAACCUCUGCAGUCAGAUUCUGAACCCACUGCGCCACAGCAGAAACUCCAACCUCUUCAUGGUUCUGGAGGCUGCGUGUCCGAAAUCAGGGGGUCAAGGAUCAUUUCUGUCUCUUGCGGCUUCUGCUGGCAAAGCCUUGGCAUUGCUGGGCUCCGUGGCUGCAUCACCCCCAUUUCCACCCUGUCUCCAUGCUGCUGUCCUCUGGCUGCGCCUGUAUCCCUGUGCCUGUAUCUCUCCGGCUGUCUCCCUCCGGCUGCGCCUGUAUCCCUGUGCCCGCAUCCCUCCGGCUGUGCCCGUAUCCCUGUGUCUUCGGGCAGUGUCUUCACAGGGACAUCUGUCCCUGGGUGCAGGGCCCACCUACUCCAAUAUGAUCUUAGCUCUGCUCCGUCACAUCUGCAGAGACCUAGAUCCAAAUAAGGCCACAUACACAGGCGCAAGGGGUUAGGAUAUCAGUGUGUCUUUUGGGGAUCACCGCCCGUACCCAGCGUGCGGUCUGGGCACCCCAGGACUCAGCCCAGCAGGCAGAUUGCUUCUUCACUCUGCAACUCGAGCAUGUGGGGCUGGACAGGCAGGUGGGUCCUUCUCUAGACAGGAGGCUGAGAGGGACAGGCUCCUGGGUGAUGGUAGCCCCCCAUCUGCCGGUGUUGCCUCUUCUUGUGACAUUGAUUAAAGGAAGGAGGUGGUGGCUGUUUAUUCAGGCCCAGCUCCCCCGGAUCCUGGCAAACACAUGUUCAUGGGUGGAGGAGGCUGCUGAGCAAGCACCCAGAUGCUGAAGCCCGGCCCGGUCAUUUGACUUUGGACCAGCCACUUUUCCCAGGGCUCCCGCUGGCUCGCCUGUAAACUGGGCUGAUGGGAGCAGCCCCCUGCUUGUGGAACUGCUAUGGACAUUGAAGGGUGGACACUGCGACACAGCCAGGGAGUGGCAAGGACCCCACAGGCAUCGGCUGUGACCUCUGCCCUCAUUUGAUUCUCAUGCUUACGCUGGACGGGGCAUCCCACAGAGGAGUCCCUGGAGGGGGUGGGGGUUCAGGGGCUUGUGGGGGUGGAGCUGGCCGACCUGGUUUGGGGGGUCGUGAGAGCUAGGAAAAGGACCUCUGCUGAUCAGAACCCCCUCACCCCGGAGUUCCCGUUUCAGCCCAGUAAGUUAAGAACCCUACCAGCAUCCACGAGUCAGAUGAUGUGGGUUCGAUCCCUGGCCUCACUCAGUGGGUUAAGCAUCUGGUGUUGCCACAAGCUGUGGGGUAGGUCGCGGAUGAAGCUCCGAUCUGGUGUUGCUGUGGCUCUGGUGUAGGCCAGCAGUUGCUUCUCCAAUUCAAACCAUAGCCUAGGAACUUCCACAGGCUGCAGGUGCGGCCCUAAAGUGACAGGAAAAAAAAAAAAAAAAAAAA